CAGGUACAGAGGGAUGCUACCGGGCGACCAGAUGCGGAUCUCGAAAGCCUGUCCCAGUUCGGACUGGAGUCUGCAACCCGACUCCACGAAGUUGGAUUCGCUAGUAAUCGCGCAUCAGCCAUGGCGCGGUGAAUACGUUCCCGGGCCUUGUACACACCGCCCGUCAAGCCAUGGGAGCCGGGGGCGCCUGAAGUCCGGGACCGCGAGGACCGGCCUAGGGCGAAACUGGUAACUGGGGCUAAGUCGUAACAAGGUACC
rnacentral:rRNA from 1 species